rnacentral:lncRNA from 1 species
UUUUUUUUUUUUUUUUUUGCUUUCAAAUUUAGAACGAAACAUUGCCUAGAUCAGUAGAAAAGCAAGGGGUGUGUCACCCCCUUUCCUUGGAGCCUUUUCUGCUCUCAUAGCCAGCUCUACUUCUCUUGACUGGGAUUCCUUUGUACAUUGUAAAGUUGAGCAUAUGUUCUCAGUGCUUUCUGAGGCAUUAUGUAAAGGGUUCAUACUAGAUGGUCAGUUAGAUACAUGUUAGCAUUAGCGUAGUUCAAAGCUGGAGCAGGCGUUGAGGGAAUGCUUGUGUCUUGUAGACUGGAGGCCUUUUCAGUAGCUUAGGCUGUUGUCCCAGAUGGACAGCAGCUUAAUGCCUUUUGAAAACUAUAUAAAGCGACUUUUGAGGCUUUCAGGUUUACAUGUAUGUCGUAGGUAUUUUUUUUUAAUUUUGAAAUGUUUAAGUUUUAAUUAAAGUUUACUCCAGUAUGUUAAUGAUGUAGUCAAAUAUUUAUUGAAAGGCAAAAUAGAAUAUUUUAAUGUUAUCCCUGCCAUUUUUCAAGAAUAUUCUUUGCAUCUAACUGCCAGUGCCAUUGUCAAACUUGUUUUCAAAAUUGUUGUACUUUUUUAUUAAACAGAGUGCUUAAUUUUAAAGUAUUAUGUUGCCAUCAUAUAGUGUAUAAAAUGUAAAAUUGCCAAUUCAUUGUACCUAUUAUUUAUUUUUAAACUAAAGUAUAAGAAUACCUUUUGAUUGAAGAAAUUUGUUAUUAAAUUGUUUUUUUUCUGAUGUAGCAUAAAAUCUUCUGAGUUUAACUGCCAAUAGAUGACCAGCCACAAGUGAACCACUUCUCAGUUGCCAGCCUUGCUUAUAGCAGAAGCAACUUACAAACAUUUAGUUUUUGUAUCUAAUCUCUGACUAUUAAAAUGUUUAUAAAGUUUAUUUUUACCAAAGAGAUGCAAUUCAUUAUGAUAAAGUUGCAGAAUAAAUGUCGUUUUAUAACAC